UGCUGCCGGCUCUGGUCCUGCGCCAGAGCUGAGAUCCAGCAGACUUUCCUCCUUCAGUGCUGGCAGCUGAGCGGAGGGAAGCGGUUUCGGGGCUCGGUUCCCCCCAGCCCGCAGCGCUCUGUCCUGGCUGCGGUGCCUUGCCUUGUGCAAGUCACGCCUGAGUAGAGCUCCCUGUAAACAGACUCACCUGCUGCUCACCGCUGCCAAGUGCCGAGCACUGCUCACUAUAUAACCCUCUUCCCAGAGAGCCUCCGGUCUGGUUCCUUGCGGAACCGAUGCACUGGGGAAUAUUUGUACAAGCUUAUUUUAAGUCUGUCACUUCUCAGCCAACAUUAGAUGUCUAGACUCCUGCUAUAAUCAAAGGUGAGAGGUAGGUUCCUAAUUACAGCAAAUCACACCCUAAAAGAUCCCUUGUCUGUAUGGGGAGCACGGACACCUUACACAGGUGGUUAAAAUGGUUCUGAAUGUUGCUUGUUGUGUGCUGGGUCUGCCGCUGUGACUGCGAACAAAUACAGGACUGCCUCGCCUUGUGUAAAUCAAAUGCUUUAGCGGCACUCUUAAGGGAGAAAUGUUAGUAGUACUCAAAUGGAAAUUAACUGGAGAGUGCAUUUAUUUUUGGCCAGUCCCCUGGGAGCACCUGCCAAGCAUUUCCUCUCAUUUCAGACCUCGCUGUUCCUGCUGCGAAAGUCUGAUGGAGCUUCGAGUCUGGGUCAAGGGACAGAAGUUGCUGGCUGAGAAUCUGAGGUCUGAACCCAAAAAAAACAUGUCUCAAGAAGCAGUGUAACUGCUCUGGCCAAGGUUUUUGUUUUCACUCAGCCUACUCCAGAAGUCUGCAGGAUCCAAAAGGCAGAGUGUAAGCUCCCUUCACUGGCUCCCUCAUUCCUGUGGAAAUGCUGGGCACAAAGCACCUGCAACUUCACAUGAUCAUCCAGUCAGAGGAGAACAUGGUACUGACAGCCUGUCCCACCACAGUCAAGGAAAGGUGUUUUGGUAGAGAUCUGUUAUUCACUGACUGAAGCACUGAUGUGACAGUGACAGCCUCCAACAUACCACUGCUCUGAGUCCUCAAUUACCUGGUUUAUACAGGAAAAAAACUUGAGAAAGGUUGUUCUAAUAUGUGUGUGGUUACUUUAACUUUGGUUUUGUUUUACAACACGUAUGCCUGCUGGAUUUAUAGCCCACCAAGAGGAACCCAUUAGACCUCACUUUCUAGGAACACUGCUUUUUAUUAUCUUAAUAUUUCAUUUAUUUUCUCAUCCUCAUCCUGCAAAAUUUUUACAUCCAGGUGCAGUAGUGCUCUUUUUGCUUGUGUGGCAGCAGCUCAAAGGACCACAGCCCUGCUGGAACAAGGACAGGACCCAGCAACAGCCCAAUGUUGCCCCAGAGGCUUCUUUAACUCUUGAGUAACUUCAUCCUGAGCUGCUGAGGGCAAUGGGAGAUGGACCAGUCCUUCAAAGCAACUUCACAUCAAUCAUUCCCGAGAGGGCUUUAAGUUAAUUGAUCCUGUUUGCAAAGGUGAAAAGGAAGACAAGGUGUGCUACUGGCGAGCAUGUGCUGUGCCCACUGAGGUGAUGUGGAGGGAUGUUUUCCAACCCACAUGUAAAGAGUAUUGUGCCUGAUUCUGAAGGUGUAUGUGCAGCUUGCUUUACAGGAUUUACUGAAGUCACUCCUGAUUUGCUCUGGGCUGUGAUUAUUGAGAGGAAAAUGAAGUUCAUGGAUUAUCUGAAGAAUCCAAAUCAAAGCUGAAGGCAGGAAAGGUGCAGGGAGGUUUCCGGACUGACCAUCUACCCCUGCAAGCAGGAGCUACGUCCUGAGUAACAGGCAGAGUCCACCUCCUUCAAACCACGGAGUUGCCAGCAGUGCUGACAGCCCUGGGCUCUCUCGCAGCGGCACCCCAGGCAUGGCUCAGCCAUUUUAAAGGCUCUCAUGAUCAGGCUGGGGCUCCUGCACAGCUGCAGUGCCUUGUCCCUAUUUUACAUUCACUGAAAGAUUUUUGAAUGGACUUCAGAAGCCAUUAGGAACCCAAAUGUCGACUUGCACUUGCAAAAUGUCUCUGGUUAAUGUUUUCCUACUGACGCUCUGCUUUGCUCCCUGCCUGCCAGAGUUUCCUGUGACCUAUUUGAAAUAUCACUCUCCUAAGUGAAAAUGUGCCUCUCUUUUUCAAACUUGCAAAACUCACAAAAAUAAAUAGCCUAAUUUGGCCAGUUAAUAGCCCUCUCCUGGGGCUCCUCUCAGCAACUAAGAGGCCUUUUAAAUACAACAUUUGUGACUGCGUCAUUAAAGCUCUGCAUGAUCCAAGCAGACUAAACCAAAAAGAAAGAAAUGCCUUAUUUGAUCUAAGUUUUCUUUUCUUUUAAAUAGUGACACUAGAGACCCAUUUAUUUUUAAUUACACAAUUGCUUUAUUAAAAGCCUAAAUCCUGCAGUCCCUAGUCAUUGCUCAGGCAAAACUGCUAUCAUUGAAGGAAGGACCUGUAGGAGUCAAUCCUAAAAAUAGGGCAGCUGACAAAGUCUGCCUUUAAAAAUGGGUUUGCUUUAUUUCUGAAGGAUUUCCCAAGUCAAAGAGAACUUGCCUCUGCUUUGCUUUUCAGCUCUGUGGCAAUUUGAAAGCUGAAUUUAGGAAAGCAGUUGCUCCAGAAAGUGAAACCACCCUCAGUUUUCCUUUCAGACUGACUUUGCUGCCCUUUUUACCCCGAAACACCACCCUCUACAGAGCCAUGGUAGUAUUUACUGGCAUGAGAUAUGCCUGAGAGUUCAUAGAAUCUCCUGAAUUGGAAGGGACCCACAAGCACAAAGAUCAUCAAAGGCCAACUCCUGGCCCUGCACAGGACAGCCCCUGAAUCCACACCAUGUUCCUGGGAGCAUCGUCCAAAUGCUCCUUGAACUCUGCCAGGCUUGGUGCUAUGUCCAGUUCCCUGCUGGAGCAGUGGGAAGCCCACUUCGAGCCCUGAAACACCUCUCUGCAGUCCUGCUUCACAUGUGGGGAAUAAAUCCAGCUGCUGGGAGACUGACAGAGGGCAGGAUUGAUCCUGUGCUGCUGAUCCUGUGUUACCCAAAUGCAUUUCUGUCUUUGGACUCUGAAGGUCAGAUCUCCUUGCUGGGUUAAGAUGCUGCUGCUAGAAGUAGGAGAGGGAGCAGGGUAGCCAGCCACAUAUACUGGAUUAUAUUUCUGGGCUAAACUCCAGAGCCUUCAAUUUUAUUAUCUAAUUACCCAACCAAACUCAUUCAUCUUUAUUUUUCAGUCUUUCCCACAGAUCCCAGUUUAAAUGCAGCUCUGCUAUCUGAAGUGCUGCCCAGGCUCUCUCUGCUUGGAAAAAUUCACAGUUUCUCAGCUUUAUUCGCUCAAACUGUGUUUUCUUAGUGUAAAGGAUGAGAAUGGCAGAAAUCCCAGCCCUGGUCAGCAGCAGAGGUCUGCGUUUGGCUGUGCUGAGGUGAAGGUCGCUGCAUUAUCGUGGGAAAGUGUAUCAGGGGAAGUGAGAGAGAGCAAAUAAACCUCUAGUUAGAAGCAGGCUUCAUCACCUGUGUGACACAUCAUUAGGUUGCACACAGGGCUUUGUGGUGUGGCUCACUGUGAUACACGGCUUUAUCACCCAGUAUAAACACCAAGAGUUAGUAAAUAAAAACAACAGGGGGGGAAAACUGCCUCUCCCAGAAAUUAAUGAGACAUCAGGAGUACAUCCAUAGAAGAUGGAGUCUAAGGAGGGAAAGGUGGUCCAUCCUUUUUCUCUUCGGGUCAAAGCAGGGACUUGGCCCUGCCCUCCCGUUCUUCUGUGCCGGGCUAAGGCGUGGCACGAAACCCCCCAGCCACGCGUGCGGGAGGGGAGCAGGACGUGAGCCCUCCUCUCCAUAUGUUACUGUCGUGUAGAUGUAAUCCGUGUCCCAUGCUGGGGCAGAGGCUCCUGGUUAGCAUAACCCUGCCCCGGGGAGGGGCUUAGCUUGCAAAUAUAUUGCUUUUUCAGUGCUCCUUGCCUUUAUUUCCUAAGGGAAUGCAGAUCCUGGCAGGUUCGCUGAGCAUCCAGAGAAGGUAAAUGGCUAGAAAGUAGAAAACUUCUGCCCAGAUUUAACAGUAUUCCUGUUUGCUCUCCAGUUUGCAGGGGCUGGGCAGGGGGAGAGAGGAGAGAGGUGGCAGAUGCUGCAGAGCUUGAGGCUGCUGUCUUGCCAGCUUGCCUUCGUUUGAGAGAAGAGAGAUGGGAGAGAAGCCCCCAUGCAGCCUUUCUCCCUUGGAGGCCUCUUGCAGAAGGAGCCCUCCUGGCACUGCUUCCCAACCCCAGCAUGCAGCCCACUGGAUUUGGGGGCUGCCUCAAAGGAGGCUGGGGCAGGGGCACAGAUGCUUUGUAUUCAGUUUGCCCUCCUGGCCAUCGACUGCCCGCUGAAGGUGUUGGUACUGUGCUGUGCCAUGCGAGGAGCUGCUCAGCAGGGCAAGGAAGGCGUGUUGCAGCCCAGGUAGGUUUGUGACAGGAAGGGUGCUCUGGCCAGGCUUGCACUAGUGGAGCAGAUGUUCUGCAGGAGGUGGUAGCACCUUAUGCAGGACAAGCCUCAAUUCUUGCUGAAGGAAGGAGCCUCCUGGGGCAGAGCACAUGGAGCAGAAGGGGAAACAGAGAUGGAUCUGGUCCAGAGUAGGGAAUGAGCAGUGUCUGGUGAUGGAGGUGCUGAACGCUUAGUGUGCCAGGUAAAAGCCCAUCAGGCUCCCAAGUCGUGUUGUGCUUAUGGGGGCCUCACUCAGAGAUGCUUUCACAUGUGGCCACAAUUCUGUUCAUCCUGCUCCUCUGGUGGCUAUGGUAUUUCUCCUCACCUCGUCUCUAUCUGCUGUUGUCUAGGCUUUCUCCAACCAGGGACCAGCUGACUUUAUCUUCCCAGAUGUUUCUUGUGAUCUCUCCCAUUCUAGCUUUUA